rnacentral:rRNA from 1 species
ACUCCUACGGGAGGCAGCAGUAGGGAAUCUUCCGCAAUGGGCGCAAGCCUGACGGAGCAACGCCGCGUGAGCGAGGACGGCCUUCGGGUUGUAAAGCUCUGUUCUUCGGGAAGAAGGGCGGGAGGGCGAACAACUCUUCCGCUUGACGGUACCGAAGGAGAAAGCCCCGGCUAACUACGUGCCAGCAGCCGCGGUAAUACGUAGGGGCGAGCGUUGUCCGGAAUUAUUGGGCGUAAAGCGCGCGUAGGCGGCUGGUUAAGUCCUGUGUGAAAGACCACGGCUCAACCGUGGGGGUGCACGGGAAACUGGCCGGCUUGAGUGCAGGAGAGGGGAGCGGAAUUCCCGGUGUAGCGGUGGAAUGCGUAGAGAUCGGGAGGAACACCAGUGGCGAAGGCGGCUCCCUGGCCUGUAACUGACGCUGAGGCGCGAAAGCGUGGGGAGCGAACAGGAUUAGAUA